UACGAAGGGGGCUAGCGUUGUUCGGAAUUACUGGGCGUAAAGCGCACGUAGGCGGGUUGUUAAGUCAGGGGUGAAAUCCUGGAGCUCAACUCCAGAACUGCCUUUGAUACUGGCAACCUAGAGACUGGAAGAGGUUAGUGGAAUUCCCAGUGUAGAGGUGAAAUUCGUAGAUAUUGGGAAGAACACCAGUGGCGAAGGCGGCUAACUGGUCCAGCACUGACGCUGAGGUGCGAAAGCGUGGGGAGCGAACGGG
rnacentral:rRNA from 1 species